rnacentral:rRNA from 1 species
CGGAGGAAAAGAAACCAACAGGGAUUGCCUCAGUAACGGCGAGUGAAGCGGCAACAGCUCAAAUUUGAAAUCUGGCCCCCCGGCCCGAGUUGUAAUUUGCAGAGGAUGCUUCUGGCGCGGUGCCUUCCAAGUCCCCUGGAACGGGGCGCCAUAGAGGGUGAGAGCCCCGUCUGGUUGGCCGCCAAGCCUGUGUGAAGCUCCUUCGACGAGUCGAGUAGUUUGGGAAUGCUGCUCUAAACGGGAGGUAGACCCCUUCUAAAGCUAAAUACCGGCCAGAGACCGAUAGCGCACAAGUAGAGUGAUCGAAAGAUGAAAAGCACUUUGAAAAGAGGGUUAAACAGUACGUGAAAUUGUUGAAAGGGAAGCGCUUGUGACCAGACGUGCGCCGGGUGUUCAGCGGGCGUUUUCGCCCGUGCAUUCGCCCCGGCGCAGGCCAGCGUCGGUUCGGGCGGGGGGAUAAAGGCGUCAGGAACGUAUCUCCCCCGGGAGUGUUAUAGCCUGGCGCGUCAUGCCCCCGCCUGGACCGAGGUUCGCGCUCCGCAAGGACGCUGGCGUAAUGGUCCCCAGCGGCCCGUCUUGAAACACGGACCAAGGAGUCGAGGUUUUACGCGAGUGUCUGGGUGUCAAACCCGCACGCGUAAUGAAAGUGAACGUAGGUGGGAGCUUCGGCGCACCACCGACCGAUCCUGAUGUUUUCGGAUGGAUUUGAGUAGGAGCGUAGGGCCUCGGACCCGAAAGAUGGUGAACUAUACUUGGAUAGGGUGAAGCCAGAGGAAACUCUGGUGGAGGCUCGCAGCGGUUCUGACGUGCAAAUCGAUCGUCAAAUCUGAGUAUGGGGGCGAAAGACU